GAACAAAGAGAAAUUGCACAGAAGAAUCAGAAAUGCAUCUGCAUUCAAGCUCGUGUCUCUGGACCCAUCAGAAGAUCCUUAUCUCCUCAGACUGUUUCUGGCACUAGGAUUUAUCUGUCUUUAUCAGAGCAAUGGCUGGGCUUUUGCUGGUGCUGAGCUCCAUGAUGCUGCUGGUAAAACUGCUGCCAAUUCCUGAACUAACUGCUUUAAGGGGACACACCCUGGGGGAGACCAGGGGUGAUCCAUAUGAAUAGAGAUGAAAUGGCUAAACAGACCCUUCAUUUUUGAGCACACACACAAAACUAAGCUUGUCUCACUGAGAUACGUUGAACAAAAUGCUUUGUUCAGAGAUGAGAUGGAUAUAGGUGUUGUGAGCACUAGCAGACAAAUGUCUGACCAGCUGCAAUCUAAUUCAUUACCUGUGAAGCAAUGGCAGUUAACACCAGGUCCUUCCAUCGAAGCCCCAGUGUCACUCGCUGGGAUCUGCAUGAGCCACUGUGCAUGAAACUACACGACAGAAAACAGAAAUCCCUGAAGAACAGAACAGGUCCUCCCUGUGUAACAUUUGAUAGGCUGAACUUUAUAGAUCAGGAGAGUAAAGCCACACUUUUCACACAUCCCUCACAGAAGAUGUUGUCCUCAUCAUGAAGUAACCAUUCAAGUGAAGCAAGCUCUUAAUGAACAUCCUUCACUGCCUACUGGGGAUCUGGAAAGUCAGAAAAGAAGGCAAUUUAAGAAAAAUAUUGCUUUGGGAAAAACAGAGAUGGCAUAAUUCAUUUCUGCAGUGAGAAAAUGGAACUGUUAACAUCCUUUACCUUCCUCUGAGUCACUGCAACCUGUGCUUUCUGGUCAAAGUUCAUGGAAAUUGAUACAUUUCUGGAGUUGUUUUGUUUGACUGGCAGUUUAUGAUGGGAAAAAUAUAAUUAAUUUUAAGGUGCCAUCAACUCUUGUGAUGAAUACUUUUUCUUUCUAUGUAUAGUGAGGAUUUUAUUAUGUGUUUUAUUGUUAUUUUGAAACAAUAGCAAAAUUUAAAUGUUUUCAAUUGAGAGUUCUGGCUUCCCACACUUUCUAUUUAAAUCCAGGCUACCACAGCCUGGUUCUCUUACACAUUGUACUUGAUCUUUUUUGCCUUAUUUAGAUUAAGAAGCAGGCAGCUCAACUGUACCUCUUGCUGAUGGCAAGCGUUAUCUGCAUGUUUGCUUUCCUGCUAUGCACAGUGACUGUUAAUGAACCUUUUCCUGCCCACAGCAGGGGGAUUGGAGCUUGAUAAUCUUUAAGGUCCCUUUCAACCUAAGCCAUUCUAUGAUUCUGAGAUUCUAUGAUUCUUUACCCAGCGGUAACUUGACUGACAGCAGAUCAGUACAACUAAAUAAAACAUUUAAAAACAAGUAUACCCAUGUCUGGAUACUUAAGAAGGAGAGGAAAUGGCAAAAUAUUUCAGAUUUGUUAGGGGCCAUUAGGUGUAUCAUAACUGCAUGAGCAGUUAUAUAAUUUAGUGACUCUCAUGAGGCAUUCUGCAUUAUGUUUGCAGUUGUGAGAGAGGGAGUUGCACCCAACUGUUUUAAGAGUGACUAUUUUUUAUUGGGGUUUUCUGGUGACGGUAUUACUCCAACAACUUGUGCAUGUCAUCAAAACCCAGAGGUAAAGAUAUAGCACUCUUUGGGUAUACUUUAUUAUUUCACAAUAAUUGGAUACCAUUGGACACCUAAUGAAAAUUUACAUUAGGCAGAUACCCAGUGUAAAUGACAUGCUUUUUCAGUCCUUCUCAUUCUUUCUUGGCUGCCUCAGUGUACUUGUUCUAAUAUUUUAGAAAGUAUGAUUUUUAAUGUAUUCUUAGGAAAUUAAAAUAUCUGGGGAGUUUUGAAGUAUUUUUCAGCAGGAAAAUCAUUAAUUGCAGUACUGGGAAUUAGAUAUUUACUUUAAAGUCAGUGGGAGUGUGUUACCAUUAGCAGGUUUGGAGCAAUGGUUCAGAGAAAUGGUGAAAAAAACCUUUUUCCUAGAUUCUUGAGUCUCCAAACAGAGAUGUACUUGUUUAAAUUUAUACAUGUGAGUAGUCUCACUGGAAGCCUUCUUAAACCUGAGCACAUGUGAAAUCAUUUGCAGAAUAAACCCUUGGUUUGGUUACAUCUGACUCAUCUUAAAUCUGAAAAAUAGCUUCUUGAACUUUUCUUUUCUGAAGUUUUGAAAGUCCCUGUGAGUACUGGAUGAAAUUUAAUGGUUCUUAUUUCAGCUGAAUAUAGCUUGGCCUUCCUUAAUGAGAACGAUGUUUUGUUUUCAAAAUAAUAAUUGUAAUGGAAGUUUUAAUGGGAUGUGUUUUCUAAUAAACAGCAGUAAUGCUUUGUGAUUUUUAUAGUGCCUUUCAUUGUAGGCUCUGAAAGUGCUUCAUUAGUGUUUUAGUCUCACAUCACCCCAAGUGGAAUGGUAUUGUUGUGCUUGUUUUAUGGAGAGGAGGGUAAAGCUGAGAAUGAGCUGUGAAAAUGAGAAUCUGGUAUAGUCUGCAGGACUAAUGGCUAUUCACAGACUCAUUCACACAACACACAGUCUCUUCUCACGUACUUCUAGCCAUGCUCCUUUAGAUGCACUUUUAUGGCUAACAGCUAGUUGCUGUCAUGAAGAUAACAACACCUUUGGCUUUGCAAACUAUUUCUGGUUAGAAAUUGCUCACUCUUAGUUUCCCUUUCUUUGUUCUAAUCGGGACUUAAUAUGUGUGCUAAAACCAGUCCUAUGCUUAAGUGCUUUUUGAUUCAGGCUCUAUUUGAAUAAUGGAGGUGAAAUGUGGUAGAAAAAGGGAUAGGGUUCAUCCAUUCUCAUCUGGGCACUGACACCUGGCAGACAGAUUGAUGUAAAUGCAUGUU